rnacentral:rRNA from 1 species
AACGAACGCUGGCGGCGUGCUUAACACAUGCAAGUCGAACGCGAAAGCCUGGGCAACUGGGCGAGUAGAGUGGCGCACGGGUGAGUAACACGUGGGUAACCUACCUUCGAGUGGGGAAUAACUCCUCGAAAGGGGAGCUAAUACCGCAUAAGACCACGACCUCUUCGGGGGUCGCGAGCAAAAGUGGCCUCAUCACGCAGAGGGUUGGGGACGAUCUUCCCGAGCGGAGGAUAGUCCUUAGCACUUUGCCCAGUGAAGCUGCUGCUCGAAGAGGGGCCCGCGUCCCAUCAGCUAGUUGGUAGGGUAAUGGCCUACCAAGGCGACGACGGGUAGCUGGUCUGAGAGGACGACCAGCCACACGGGAAUUGAGAUACGGUCCCGACUCCUACGGGAGGCAGCAGUGGGGAAUCUUGGGCAAUGGGGGAAACCCUGACCCAGCGACGCCGCGUGGGGGAUGAAGGCUUUCGGGUCGUAAACCCCUGUGAGGUGGGACGAACGUCCCCCUGCAAAUAGCUGGGGGAUUUGACGGUACCACCAAGAGAAAGCCCGGGGCUAACUCCCGUGCCAAGCAGGCGGCGGGUAAUUACGGGAG